UCUGGACCGCGCAGCAGCGCUUCUCAUGAAGUGACGCACAGGGAACAGCCAGUCCCGUCCCAGGAAUCCAGCAUCUCACACAAAAGGACGACGGACGACGCCGAAGCACCUUCAAAAAAAACAAAAACAAAAAGUCCAGCGCAGAACAUGAAGAUGUUGCCAAGCGGACCUCACAUGACCCAGCGAGGGAACACCCCGUCACAGCCUGAAAAACAGCCCUGAUUCGUUCCACCGCUGAACUCCGCCGCCUUCCAAAAACCUCGGGUUGCGUUUCCCUGCAUCCGUCAGAACGCUUCUAAAUCAGCGAGCGAGAUUCUGAUCGGGGCUGGUGUGGAUUUGCGGAACUCCCUGUCCUGCUGAUGGAGAGUCUGAUAUCUGCUGGCAGACGCUCUUGGGUCCAACAGCUGUCAGGAACACCAGAUGGGACCUGGAACCACACUCUGACCACUCGUGACGCUUCGCGCUACUUUCGCAACAAAUUUAUUUUCUCAGAAGGCGACGGAGUUUCUUACAUCAUCCUUUGGUUUCACAGCUUAUUUCUGCUUGUUUCCUGCACUGGAUUCUUAGCAUUAUGAGCAUUUAUAACUUUUCAUCCACCUUUAGGAUGCUUCCUGCAUAUGAAGACAAACUAUCUGUGCAGUGUUGGUUUUAAUACAUACAGCUCUGCGUGAAAGAAACCAACCUUUAAAUACGUUUGAGAAAAAGUGAGUAAACAUCAAAAACAUUAUUACAAAACAUUAUUACAGGGAAAAUGUCUUUGUCCAAAGCGAGGAAGCAAUUUUUUAAUCAAAACCAGAUUUUCCUAAAGCAGCUUAAGAGCUCAUGAAAAAAUCAUGCUAAACCCUGGUGUGCUUUUUCCACAUUCUCCUUGGAUGCAUCUCUAAAUAUUAAAGAUUAAAUCAGGUGGAUUGGAUUUUUUAAUGAAGUCAGGGGGAAGCUUUGCUCAAAUAAACCUUCUCAGCGGGCCACAGGUAUUAAAUCAAAUAAUAUUGUGAAUAAAUUUGUGCUUUCAUUGCUUUUUAACCCCAUCCUGUCAUGUUGACAUAUUACCUUGUGGUCCCACUUUUAAAUGACGCUUUGUCCUCUGUGGAGCAUUAAAUAAUGAAGGGGCGAUAGAUCCAUUUGUCCCUAAAGAGGGUUUUCACAGGCAAUUACAGAUAAAUGCUGGUUAUUGGAGCUCUGAAGUGU